rnacentral:lncRNA from 1 species
ACUGUUUUUUAUAUUUGGGAAUUGUUUCGUAAAUAUGAACACAAUGCUGCUAUCAAAAGGCGAUUUAGAGCAAAUUUUGAUAAGAUCCGAGACUCGAUAGUAACUGGUUUUCUCACGGGGAUUGGGUAUGGUGGUUGGCGGGUUGUUCUUCGCCAAUGGGUGCCGGGACGUUGCCGAAGGUUAGUGAAAGGAGGGUUAGGCCACCAGACGUGGCUCUGAUACCAUGUUGACAGAAAUUAUAGAAAGAGAAAGAGAAAGAAUUUAUGUAUGUAUUGUAUUGAAUAAAUAUAAAAAAUACACAAUUUAUAUAGGGGGACUUAAAAUGAAUCGUUUACAUAAGAAAACAAUAAUAAAGUAAUGUCGGAAUCGAAUUGUUAUCAAAGGUUGGAAGGAUGGGAUUUCAAGAUGGUAUAGGGGGUUAGUGUGAUUAUGACGUUGUGAGGUAAGUUCUGGAAGUAUAUCAAAGUAUAGGUUGGUGCUGAGCUGUAUUAUUGGCUAACAGUUUUUAACUCAAUUCACACUGCUGCCUAAAAGCAUUAACUCUCUCUUCUAUGGUGGCCUGUUUCAAAAGACAGAGUUAAUAGAGUUAACCUUUAUGACAAUCUAAAGUGAUACGCCAAGGUUAAAGCUAAACAUGAGAGAUUCUAUAGUGUUCCCUUUAUGAGAUUUACAUAGCCAUCGAUCUUUUGGGUCAAUAAGAUGAGCAAACCUCUACCAAAUAAGAAACUGAAUGAUGAUCCAAAGCAAAGGAUGUACAACUUUAGAAAUUGAAUGACCUCACCUAGAUAGAUUGCACAGCGCGAACAUAGUCUUUCAAGGGCUCUUCAAAAUUCAUCAAGAAAAUACAGCAUAGUCUUUCAAGGGCUCUUCAAAAUUCAUCAAGAAAAUACAGCAAGGGAAGUUAUAUCAUUAUAUAUAUAUAUAAUAUAUAUAUAUAUAUAUAUAUAUAUAUAUAUAUAUAUGGGGCCAGAUCAGGAGACAAAAUUUGGACAUUCCAUCCUAGUCUUAAAAUCAGGGUUGAAUUAAAACAACCUCUCUCUCUCCUCCCCCACGCCCCAGUAUCUUCCCCCCAACUUUACCCUCCCUCCGAGACCUUUGAAAGCCCCCAAUACUUCUCCACCCUCCACCAGGCCGAGACGCCAUCACUGACGUCGCCCUACACUCUCUCUCUCCCUCGGGCUUUACCUUACCUCAAAGUCGACUGGUGGGCUUAAAAUAACACCUCUCUCUCUCUCAUAUCGAUCUCACUCCCAUCACCACUACCACCACCACCACCGGUCAAACCACACCACUGACCCUCAGAUCAAGUGAAUCUCACGCGAAACAAGCACCAUCGAACAUCGUCAAAUCCCCACCAACCUGUCGAUUGAAGGACCUUGUCACUGUCGCUGUCGAUUGAACCACACAGUUGUUGUUGUCGUCGAUUGAAGCCCACCAGCCCAAUCGAUCGUCAUCGUUGUCGAUUGAAGCCCACUAGUCGCCGUUACUGUCAAUUGAAGUUCAAUCGAGUCACAGUCAUCGUCGCUCCAUGGAGAAGAUGUUAUGAUCUACUAAUCCUUUGCGAAUAUAAGAUUUGCUAAAUUAUGUCCUCCUCGUUUGCGAAAGUUUGUAGUGUCACCAUGUAAUGUUUGUUGUAUGGCUUGUCUGUAAAGAGACAACAUGUUUGUGACUCUACUUGUUUAUGGUAGUUCAGUAAUUGGUUAUGAGAGCGGUGGAAUAGAAGUGAAAAUUUGUUGUAUUUAUGGCAUUCAAGUCUGUUGUGUUUGACUGGGUAAUACUAUCUGAUAGCCUGAAACAUGGUUUACAUGUGUGAUUUUUUGGGGGAGCAAAGAUUGAUUGUGUAUUAUCGAUCUGAUGCUGCUUCCUUAUGUUUUUCCUGCGACCAUAGCGGUCAUUCUGCAAAUGCCUCAGCAAUUGCCAGUUAUGGAUCAGUCAAGCGGGCAUCAUCUAGUCAUUUAAUGAUAUGUUAACAAAGCAAAGAUAUGUUAACUUGUAGCACCUGCUGCCCUCACGCAAAAUUACAUUCACUUUAAGAAUUCAUACAUUUUUAAAGUCGUUCACUUGUUAGCACUUGAAAACAUAGAGAUACGAAUUCCAAGCUUUAAAUACAAUUGGAAUAAUCCAGUACGUGGAAAAAUUAAUUUAUGCAUGAAAUUGUCGAGAAUACAAAACUGUGGAAAAUCUCCAACAAGUUUUGUCUACUUUAACAAAAGAACUAAUAUUUACCUGAUCAAUGAUUUGAAAAUGUAUCGUGGGCAUCCUUCAAAUGAUCAAAAUAAUUCUCUCAAUUUCUUUUACUCAUCACACCAAAUAAUAAAGAUUAGCCUGAGCCAAUCUGCCAGUUCGGCAUGAUUGUGUCAAUAUAUCUUCUUUUUUUGCUGGGGGGGUGGAUCACCCCAAAACGCAAAUGAAAAGAAUACGUGUAAAACUUGUAUAAGGCAACCAAGGGAGUUUAUAAUUGAAUAAGCCAAAAAAGUUCAUUUAUACAUCACAACCAUUUAUAACUCCGAUAAAUCAUGGCCAUGCAACACUAGCCUUACAUGUAUUGUGUGUAUAUCCACAAAAGAAAGUGCACCAUAUUGCCCACGGUAAUCUCCAAAGUAUACGGAAUGCUCAGUCAACAAAAAACAAAAGGUAUGAGCAGCCAAUUAUAACUAUUUACCAAAAUAUAAGUUGCCCUAAGUCUUAACAAAAACCAAAAAGACCUUCGUAAGCCUAUCUCAGUAUUGGGUGCCUAUUCACUACUCCUCCCUCCUCCCAAGCUCAUGCCUUUGCCUCUAUCUAUGUCUGAGCUCCUUCCUCUUGCCUUGCCUGCCUUUGCCCAUCUCUUGCCUCUGCCUCUGCAUUCUGAGUCGACUUGAUGGCGCAUGGUCCUUACUUGGUCACCGUCCACAUUUUGUCAUUCGGCUUUUUUGACUCUCAUCUCCUCCAUUUCAUGUCGUGGCUGCAUUAUACCUGUUUUCACACAAAGAAAUGAAUUGUUUAGGUAACACCUUGAAUAGACCAAAAAUUAUAAGUGAUUUACCUUUGUAAGUUUCACUCAUCGGAUUCUCGAGACAAGUUCUUUUAUCAUCUUCUAACUUAUUGCACAAGUUACACUUUCUUUUCUUCUUGUUUAAUACCAUCUCAAUACUACUUUUCAGUCUUUUGAAUUGUAUACUAGCACCAUUUUCCCGUUGCAUUUGUUUUUACCCUUGGUUUGUGAGAAUGUUUCGGAUCUGAACUCAAUAUCUUAGAUAGCUCGUAGUAUGUACAUUUAUCUUGUUCAGACAUCCUCCUUGAGGCACAUAAGAAGUAAAAUUUAUGAGCUUCUCUAAUAGACCCCUUCAAGUUUCGUGUAAUUGUGUGCAUACCUCAUUUGACGGGGCAGCCAGACAAGCUAAUUUGGUAAAUGUCUUGACACAUAUCCUAAUUCCUUAAUGCUUCGGAUUCUUCUUUGCCAUCGUCAUGCACCAAGUCUUCGGGAUCAAUAUCCUAAAUUUGUGGCCUUUUUUCUCCAUCCGUGGAAGAAUGAAAUGGUCCGGUAUUGCAUCAAUGUCUCGUCGGACAAUACUUUCAUAUAUGUGUGCACAAUUUUCCAACACACUCAAUUUUUUGGCAUUCCACACUUACCCUCAUAGGUUUGCGACUCCCAUGUCCGACGAACUUUUCGAUUUCAUUAAUUUUUUUACUUCACUACGAAUGAUUGAAAAUCUAUUGGUAUCUCCCACAUUUAUCAACUUUAUAUGAAAGACUUCACUGAUUUUUCAUCCUUGAACUUUUGAGACGUUUCUAACGAUAAAUUUGCCGCAUACUAACAAAAAUUAUCCGCAUUCACAAUCUAAACUUAUGCUCGGACUCAAAAUCUUUAUUUUUUUACGUAUCUUCUUCAAGGCUUGCUCUACUUGACACCGAACUCUUUAAAUUUGUGUCGAAUUAACAAAACCAUCAAAAAAUGAAUUGACACACUCACUACGUUCCGGUAGUAUUCAUACAGCAAAGAUGUGCCCACGCUUUGUAUAUGGCUACCAGACUCACGCAAUAUCCAUACAAUUGUUAAGUCAUUCAUAUUAGUUUCUAACCCAUAUUCCCUUUAUCAGUGCCAUCCCACUCUCUUCAAAAUCAUCUUUCUUAUUGUCUUUCAAAUACAUUUUUUCAGUUCCUUCUGAAUUUGAUUGCUUGUAGUACACUUGUGACAACUUUCAACAAAUUAUUUUAAUAUGCUAGUAAUGCAUAGCCUAUAAUGGGUGUUGGGAAAGACUUGGCCAAUUGUUCCCUUCAUUGUCAAAUCCUGGUCAGUGAUGAUAGAAGUUAGAGCAUGUCCCUCUAAUAGUUUCACGCCUGUCUCAAAUAACCAUAAAAACUCAACUCUAUCUCAGUCUUGUAAAAGAGCACAUCCACACUGUAUGAUGCAUGUGAUAGGGUUACUCCCAUAAAUGGUGCAAAAGUCAUAUCAUACUUGGUUUGUUCAUAAUAUUGGUCAAUGUGACUACAUCCCCAAUAUGAUACACCAUGCGAGGCUUCGAUCCACCUAAAAAAAACUCACUGCUUAGCACUUUCAUCACAUUGAAUUGCAAUAAAAAAAAUGGUGAUUAUAGGUAAGAACAAUUGUGCAAUCUCCGCCAUCUACUAUCUAUUGCCUCACAUUCCUCAAGUGCUUAUAGAACUCUCUAUUAUCAAAGCCAAUGUAUUCACCCCAAAAUUGAAGGCCACUUUAGAAAUUUGCAAAUUUUCUCUAUGAAAUGGCUUCGGUCAAAUCUUUAAACAGCUUUGGUCAUGUGUCGUUUGACUGCAUUUCAUCUCUUAGAUGGAUCCCUAAGUGGUGAUUCUGAGCAUUGUCGAAAACUUUACCUCUCAUUUUAGACUCCAUUUGUCACCUUAAUCCAAAAUGAGCUUGCAUCCACAUUUAGUAGUUGAACACUUAUUUUUCUUUUCUUCGGUAGUACUUUAUCAUAUUCUGCUCUCUCAUCGUUCCCUUCCACACCAUCUUUCUCAUCCUUCCGGAACAUACAUUCCUUCUU